AUGACUUCAGCGCAGGGUGGUUGUGCCGAGGGCCGUGAGACUGACAUAAACCAACUACUCUGAGAGUCUGGGUUGGGGGAGAACUCUUCUAGCAAGGUGAUUAUGAAGAGCUCUGUGAAGGAGUGGGCUUGAUCUGAGCUUUCAAAGAUGCUCUGCAUUUUAGUAGGUGGUGACUGAAGGUUGCCUGGGAGACACCCUUCCAAGUACAGGAAACGGCACAAGCGAAUGAGUAGAAGGCUGAGCCAGUGAGACACAACAUAUUUCACUCAACGACCGGAUGUGUGAGAGAACUGCUUAUUUUUUAAAUGAGAGACAGAUAUGGAUGCUUAACUCUGAUGACUGAGGUUGACUACAGAGGUGAAAUAUGAGGUGCUGAGCACAAGGCUUUAUGGUAACAGUUACUUAUUUAUUUAUCAAGGAAGAAAGACCAGAUAGGUAAGUAAACAAGGAAGAAAGUGCACGUUGAUCAAUUUGCAUCAGAUUUUAAAUUCUAUUGCUCAACACAAAUUCUUUCCAUCAAGUUAUCCUUAGUUGAAGCUCAGUGAAUACUAGCUUUUGGUAAGGGUACUCAGAUUUCUAAAAGAAAAUAAAUUGGAUGAAUUGGAUGUCUUGAAUUUAGUUGCCUUGCACAAUGGUUCUAAAUAGAAUUGUCUAAUCCUAAGCAGUCACCCAAAAACAAAAAUUGUCUGUUACAAAUGAACAAUAAAAAAGCAAAGAACUCAAUCAAAAAGUGGGCAGAGGAGAUGAACAUUUUUCCAAAGAAGAUACACAGAUGGCCAAUAAACACAUGAAAAGAUGUUCAACCUCACUAAGCAUCAGGCAAAUGCAAAUCAAAACUACACUAAGAUACCUUACACCUGUUAAAAUGGCUAUAAUCACUAAGACUAAAAACAACAAAUGUUGGAGAGGGUGUGGAGAGAAGGGAACCCUCACACACUGCUGGUGGGAAUGCGAACUGGUGCAGCCACUGUGGAAAACAGUAUGGAGAUUCCUCAAAAAACUAAAAAAUAGACCUACCAUAUGACCCAGCUAUCCCACUACUGGGUAUCUACCCAAACAAUUUGAAAUCAACAAUCCGAAGUAACAUAUUCACCUCUAUGUUCAUUGCAGCACUAUUCACAACAGCCAAGACAUGGAAACAAUCCAAGUGCCCAUCGACCGAUGAUUGGAUAAAGAUGUGGUCCUUGCCUUUCCAGGACAUUGACGUAAGGCAGAACAUGCUUCCUGUACUUCUCUAAGCAGCCCGAGUGGACCAAGACAAGGGCCGUGUACGGCGGGCGCCACUGAGUGUGAGACCUGCGGGUUCCUCCUCGUGUCUGGGGAUUGGCAGUUCUCUUCCCCACUUCACAGACGAGGAAGCUGAAACCCAGAGAGGACACAUCACCUGCCCAAGCGUCACAAUAAAACUUUUGAGACCAAGCUUCUCCCAGACACUAAAGAAAGAGUUGUAAAUCGUCCUGGCCACGGUGGGUAUACAGCAUCUCAGAAGCUUCUGCUUCCCGCAACCCGACUCUGCUUGAGGCAUUUUGCCAUGUGCUGGAGAAACAACAAUGAAAAGAUAACCUCAUCGCGAAACAAAGACAAGCAAAUAAAGUAAUUUCAAAUUAUGGGAACUAUAGCAAAGGAAACGACCAGGGUACUGACGCUGAGAAUAAUCUCUUAGGCACUGUUGUGAUGGAGAUCAUUUUGAGACAUUUCACCGAUGUGGUUAAACUUGUAGUUCAUAUAUUCCCGAGCUGAAUAAGAUACCACUGGAAGUAUCACACCUUCUCUAGAAAGUCGUCUGGAAGCUUCUGAUAGAGCUGUGUGUUCUCCACCUGAAUGCUCGUCCUUCAAAUGCCUGAUUUUUCUCAAACCAAAGCCCAUACAAAUGGCCGGGUGGAAACAUCACUAAAUAUUUAUAAGACCAAGCAAGCCUGUUGUGGUGGUGUUUAUAAUAAAAAAAAUGGUAACAGGCUAAAAGUCUCAAUAGGUGGAGUAAAUGAAGUACACCAUCCGUAGGAUAGAGUGUGUGCUAUGGAUCAAAGACGCUUGGAAAGAAACUGAUGUGAGAAAACGCUCAUGGAAGUAUCAUUCAUCAGUUUAUAGCACAUUUUUUCCAAUUUGUUAAAAUAUGGUCACAUGUGUAUGAAAAAAGGAAGGAUACAUAUUAAAAUUUUUGUCGUUUGUGCCGUGGAAUGGAUUCCGACUCCUAGCGGCCCUGCGUACAGCAGAGCGGAACCCUGCCGGGUGUUUCUGCGCCAUCCUCUCACCUUCCGGCACUGCAUCAGACAAUGCUCUGCUGCUAUUCACAGGGUUUUCAUGGUCAAAAUUUUUGGAAGUGCCUGGCCAGCUCCUUCUUCCUAGUCUGUCGGAGUCUGGAAGCUCUACUGAAGCCUGUCCACCAUGGGUGACCCUGCUGGUAUUUGAAAUCCCGGUGGCAGAGCUUUCAGCAACACACAGCUGCCGCAGUGUGACAACGACUGAUGGGUGGUGUGGUCCCUGAUGGGAGACAAACCUGGGCCGUGCAGUGAGAGCGCCACAUCUUAACCCAGACCACCAGGGCUGGCCACACAUCAAAAUAACAACAAUUAUAUCUAACUAGGAGAAUGACGGGUGAUUUUUAUUUUUCCCUUUGUUUUUUUCUAACUUUUCCAAAGUUUCUGCAAUAAACGCUUCUUAUUUGUAUAAUGGAGGGGUCAUUAAAUUCUUUUGAAAGAAUCAACCAGUCCAUCACCCAGGGAUUCAUUAUCUGAAAUGAAUGUUUUUCAAAACAUGGGGGGAAACAACUUCUCCCUUGUAGAUUCUGCUCUUGGUUUCUAAACCAUGAUUUUAUAGAAAAAGAACGUUUCAGUUUCAGAGGGCAGCAAGUAGUUAUGCAAUCUUGCACACGUCAUUAAGGAAUCUUCAAAUGGACUCACCACCCUCAGUGUGAUAGAAAAGACUCGGGCGUUCAAGUGCACCCGCCAGCACUCGGAACCUGGGCAAGCCCGUCUUCUCACAAUGUUUCCCCUCUAUAACAUGGAGAGCAAUAUUGCUUUUCUGUGUGUUAUUGGGUCCAGAAAACCCCACAUUCCCCGGAAGCAAGGUAGGGCCGUUCUCACAGAAGUACAGUCAAGGCUCUGUUUUCGACACAGGAUAUCUUUUACUAGAAGGCGGGAGAGGAAGCUGGUUCAGCUGGCUAAAUCCCUGCCAGGGAUGAACCACCAGAGCCCAGCCUGAGUCACUCAGUGAGUCACUCAGUGAGCCACUCAGUGAGUCACCGAAGCGGCCGGCUGAGGAGGCAGGCAGCACCCACAGACGGGAGCCCACCAGGGUCUGCGGCAGGAAGGCGGGGCGCCUACCACAGCAUGGCUUGCCAAGCAGCGCUGUCUCCAAACCCGGGCUCCGAACCUGCGAACCCCUGGCCGCUGAGAAGCGGAACGUGCGCACUUAACAGCUGCGCCACCGGCCGGCCCCUGGACUCUUCUGAUGACUUCUGCCUGCCUUUCUGAAAAUGCCCGUCCUGCCUUCCCCCGACUUUCCAGCCCCAGGCCCCCCAACACUCCCUGCCCCCAGAGCAGAUCCCACCCCUCCGACCUGACUUCUCGGAUACCUGAAACUGCCCAGAGACCCAUUAUUUUUCCGGGACGCUCCCAGGAAGAUAAAUUUGUCCGUUCUCCUUGAUGCGGAUGAAUUUCUCGUCUUCUUUCCCAGCGGGUUUUGGUUGAGAGACGUGAGAGAAGAGGGAAGCCCUAGGGCCCGGGCCCAGUGACGGCGCGCUGCAGACCUGGACAGGAGAAGGGGUUCAGAAAGGCGGGAUCAGCGUAGACUUUCGUUGCAUCAGGCCACACCUUCUGUCUGCGCUCACGCGUGUCUGCCCCUUAAGGACUCUGUCCUUCCCCUCCCGUCAGCCCUCAGGAGAAAGCCCCCGGCCCUGGCUUCAAACCCCUAUUAACUGCUGUUGGUCAGCACAGCACAAAGCCACCUUUGUGAGAGAGGUUAGGUUAGCUUCUCUUUACUGCUCUAGAAAUCUGGCUGCAGACAGAACUAGCGACCUGGGGCCGGUCCCUGGCACAGUCUCCGGGCGGUGUCCUAACUGGAACGCUGAACGAGUCCCCAGUGCCGGAGCCUUGCGGUGGCUGAAAAAUGACGCUUGCAUUCCCGUCAUCAACCAGAUGGCUCAUGUCGAGUGUCCUGAUUGUUUUGGGUAUUCUUUGUGUGCAACUUUGAGUCCCUGUCUCGUAUUUGGGUCAGAGCAACGGGAAGGACACAUGACUUGCUUUAAAAUUAGCCUCAAACUCAUUGCAUAACCGGUCUCGUUUUCACUAAAUGGAAUGGUUUCUUGAGAGGACAGCAUGGCAUUUGUAGUUAAGUCUGUCUGGUUGAGUUACCUUGGAGAACAUCGUUUCCAUCCACCAGGACUCAGUGUUUCCACCUGUGAAAUGGGGUAGCUUUUGUUUGAAAGAAAAUAAAUGAAGGGUAACAACAUAAAAGUAACCACCUCAUCCAGACCCCCUUCCCCCAGCCACACCACACACACACUCACACUCACACACUCACACACACACACACACACAGUUUUGGGGCUUGUCAGCAGAUGGACAACAAUCUCUUCUAGUCCCCAAAAGACAGGGCAAACAUAGAGCGGAAAGAAAUGCUUACUCCCUAAAUCACGCCAUCGUCAGAGCCCAGCGGCAUGUUCUGAUGGCUUAGUGAGCUCAGAGAAUAUAUUUUAAGUCUUAAGAAAACAAACUUUUCUGUCUGUUUUCUCCUGGGACCGGGACAUAGUCUUCAUACAAAUUCAAAAUCAACAAAAAGAAACUAACAAAAAACCCUCCUGACUGCUGUCCUUCUCCAAGAACAAAUGGUUUCUCCAGAUUUCUGAUUCAUCUUGGCAAUGUGUGCGAAUAAACCCGAAUGACCCCGAGGAUAAAUAGAUGCAAAGAACUAGGCGUGAUUGUGUAUGCCUAGAAUGUUUCUUUGUAACAGCAAACAGUGUUCCCAUGAUCGGUUGAGUUAGAAGAAUGGUCUGUUGUAAUUUAUAUCUCACUUCUGAGGUGGUGGUAAAUUGCCGAGGGUUAGAGCAGAGAGUGCUAAAAGAUGUGGGCCUCUUUUAAGUAGGGGGACAAAGAGGAGGUGACAUUCAGCUAGAAGCCACCAAGCACAGGGUAAAUCCAUCUUACAGCCGGCUGUGUCACCAGGCGAGGAGGCUUCCGGGUGCUCUAAGAUCUUUGCAGCAGACGGACCUGGGUUCAGAUCCCAGCUUCCUGGCCACGUGGCCUCGGGCCAGCUUCCUGCCUUUUAGAACCUCUCUCCGCUCCUCUGUAAAGUGAGGGUGAGAACAGUGCCUUGUGAGGCUUAAGUGAGAUGAUGCUUGUAGAGAGGGCUCAGCAGAGUGCCUGGUACACAAUCAGCCCUGACAAAUGCUGGACAUUGUGGGAAAUUGUACUUAGCCCUCAUCUCCUAGGGCUGCCAUGACGAAUUACCGCAAAUUUGGUAACUUAACACAACAGAAAUUUAUUCUCUUGCAGCUCUAGGGACCAGGAGUCUGAAAGCAAGGUGUUGGCAGCUCGGUGCUCCCCUGAGGGCUCUGGGGAGUAUCCUUCCCCACCUCUAGCAGCUUCCAGCGGCUGUGGGCAUUCCUUGGCUUGGGGCUGCAUGCAUCGCUCCAGUCUCUGCCUCCAAGUUCAUGCAGCCUUCUCCCCUUCUCCCUCUGUCUCUCUUCUAUUUGUCUCUUAGAAGGACACAUUAUUGUAUUUAGGGCCUACCUAGAUAAUCCAGAAUGAUCUUAUCUCGAGACCCCUAAUUUAACACAUCUGCAAAAAUAAGGUCACAUUCACGGGUUCUAGGGACUAGGAUGUGGGUAUAUCUGUUCGGGGACCACUAUUCAAUCCACUACAGUAAUAUUUAUAUGGUUAUUUAGCAAGAAGUGCAGUACUGGCCAUCACCCUGGGUGGGCGGGGUCCUGGGCCCAUCACUUUAGAAGGCCCUCUGUCACAUGGCACGGGCUCAGUGUAACCCCCAAUGCUGAACAUCUGCAGGUGACUGACACCCUCCAGGCCCCAAGGUAUCCCCUACAUCUUUUGCCCCGUGUUCUCCAAGCAGAAGGUAACCACGCCCAAAGCUGCAAAGGUUUGUAGAGUGUGCCACUGCUGACCUCAGAUCUGACGCUGCCUCGGAGAGCGAGGAAGAUGCUGGUGGUAGAAGCUCCUGGGAGAGAGGGAAGAUGACGUAGCUGUGCCAUCCUCCUCUCCAAGUGGCCCGCCUGCAACAGUCUCUGGUUUCUCUUCAUGUUCCAACGGAUGGUUCUGGAAUUAUUCGUGAAUUAGCACAAUAUCCACAACAGUUCACGGUACACUUAAAUGCAGAUGUAUGUAGGUGCACCAAUAAUAUGUGUGAAGCAUGAUAUCAACUCUUUACAACACUAUAUGGAUCUGUAUAUUUUUAAAUAUUGUUUUAAGAGAUUUUGAAAAUCAUGAAAUAAAUGAUGGUGAUUUAUAGGAUGAAAUUAAAACAUUUGUAACAGUGUCUGUGAUCAUGAAUAUAUCAGAUGCAACCCAAUUACAAUGUUGGUAUAUAAAACUCAUGAUCCAUUUCCAAAUCAAAGUAUUGCUUUAAGAAUUUUAUUGACGAUUUCAAUUGCUGCUGCCUCUGCAGAGCAAAAUUUCUCCACAUUGAAAAUUUAAAAAAACCCAAAGAUUCGAGAAAGGUCAUCUAGUGUGCAUUACUUUUAAUAGGACUCAAAUGAUGUGAAAAUAUUGAUUAUAACAACAUAAUUAGUGGUUUUGCUGAAAUGAAAACCAGG
ensembl:lncRNA